CGUCCAUUCAAGAACAAAACAACUCUGGAACUCAAGAGGGCAUAGAAAAACAAGAAGAUAAGCAGAGUGUAUCCGUAUAUUCGACGACCGGUUUGGCCUAGUGGGUAGUGACCCUGCCUACGAAGCUGAUGGUCCCGGGUUCAAAUCCUGGUAAGGGCAUUUAUUCGUGUGAUGAGCAUGGAUAUUUGUUCCUUAGUCACGGGUGUUUUCUAUGUAUUUAAGUAUUUAUAAAUAUUUAUAUAUUAUAUAUAUCGUUGUCUAAGUACCCUCAACACAAGCCUUAUUGAGCUUACUGUGGGACUUAGUCAAUUUGUGUAAUAAUGUCCUAUAAUAUUUAUUUUGCAGUAUCCCUUUUUUGCGGGGUUCUAGGAGGCUAAAAAUGUUUCUAAUACAACUAGAUGUCGGGAGGGUCCGGGAGACUUACCUCCGUUAUUUUACGUACACGGACGGACGUAUAUGGACAUACCCCAUUUCAUUUGCGAUGGCGGGAUUCCACUUGAGACGUAAACAAUUAUAUUUGCAGCGUCGUGUCUUACAUGUAUCUGUCCAGUAUUUAUUUUUUUGUGUUAUUAUUUGACCACACGCGGGCUUUGAAGGCCGGAGCUCGUAAAGCAAUUGUUAAACAAUAGAUCAACAUUAUGGUUCUAUUUGUGCAGUUCCAAGUGGACCGCCAUCGCAAAUGAAAGACAAUAUGUGCCUAUACCACAGAAUAAAUAAUAGUACUACUGUACAGAAAUGACACUUCCUACAAAACCGAAGUUUGACAGCGAUUCAGGGACAAAUCAUGCUGUCUCUUUUAUAUGGCAUUAUCCCUUUCGGCUAUUUAGGGUUGUCAAAAUUCAAGUCAUUAUCUUAUUUGUGGUAUACACAAGUUGUGCCAACUUUAAUAAUUGCUCGGAGAAAUGCUGAGCCGAACGGAGCCGACAAUGCCCGAACGCUCUAGUGUCUCCCUACUGACAUUAUAAAUAAAUCAAGCACUUUUUCAAAGCUCAAGCCCGAGUUCAAGUCUCUGACUUGGGAAAUUCUCCCAGACUCACCCUAAGCUUGGGUUUGGAUUUUGUUUGGUUUGGGGCAAGUAUACAUUUACUUAGUAUAUAAGAUUGCACGCUUACCUCACCGUAUAAUAGGGAGCGUGCAUGAACUGUAGAAGGCAGCACAGGAGCCGUCAGAUUUUUGGCGCGAGGCGUAAAUGUGAUGUUUAUUGUUCCGAUGUAGCCCACAAGAUGGCAGAACCUACUAUGCACAAGAAAACACGUGACGUGUAAAUGUACAUGUUUAUGGUUCCGAUUCAGGCCACAAGAUGGCAGACCCUCCAAC